ensembl:rRNA 5_8S_rRNA 5.8S ribosomal RNA
AACUCUUAGCGGUGGAUCACUCGGCUCGUGCGUCGAUGACGAACGCAGCUAGCUGCGAGAAUUAAUGUGAAUUGCAGGACACAUUGAUCAUCGACACUUCGAACGCACUUGCGGCCCCGGGUUCCUCCCGGGGCUCCGCCUGUCUGAGCGUCG